AUAAUGUGGAUAACCCAAGAAAGGUACUUUCCCAGGUUACUGUUCAGGUGGCAUACAGGAAGGAGUACAAGACUUUGCCCUAUCAUGUACAAUCUCUCCCUACAACUUUAGAGAGGAAGCCAGGUACUGUGUCUGCACCUGCAUUCUCCUAUGGCUUCUCAGAGUCCUAUAGAAAAUAACUGAAGAGACAAACCAGGCAUGAAACAUAC
rfam:Erinaceus europaeus unplaced genomic scaffold scaffold00284, whole genome shotgun sequence